UACAGAGACUGCAAGCGUUAUUCGGAUUCACUGGGCGUAAAGGGUGCGCAGGCGGCCGUGUGUGUGAGGCGUGAAAGCCCGGGGCUUAACCCCGGAAUUGCACCUCAAACUACACGGCUAGAGCAUUGGGGAGGGUAGCAGAAUUCACGGUGUAGCAGUGAAAUGCGUAGAUAUCGUGAGGAAUACCAGAGGCGAAGGCGGCUACCUGGACAAUUGCUGACGCUCAGGCACGAAAGCGUGGGGAGCAAAAGGG
rnacentral:rRNA from 1 species